rnacentral:snoRNA from 1 species
GGGGAAAUGAUGAGAUGACUUUCCCCAUAUGAUCAACUAUGAUUCUAUCCAAUGUUUUUUUUCUCUUCAGAGUUCAAGCUAGUUGAUUAUGAUCGCC